rnacentral:rRNA from 1 species
CGGGGUGGAGUAAUGUCUGGGAAACUGCCUGAUGGAGGGGGAUAACUGCUGGAAACGGUAGCUAAUACCGCAUAACGUCGCAAGACCAAAGAGGGGGACCUUCGGGCCUCUUGCCAUCGGAUGUGCCCAGAUGGGAUUAGCUAGUAGGUGGGGUAACGGCUCACCUAGGCGACGAUCCCUAGCUGGUCUGAGAGGAUGACCAGCCACACUGGAACUGAGACACGGUCCAG